AGCCAGACUCCUACGGGAGGCAGCAGUGGGGGAUAUUGCACAAUGGGGGAAACCCUGAUGCAGCGACGCCGCGUGAAGGAAGAAGUAUCUCGGUAUGUAAACUUCUACCAGCAGGGAGGAAAAUGACGGUACCUGACCAAGAAGCCCCGGCUAACUACGUGCCAGCAGCCGCGGUAAUACGUAGGGGGCAAGCGUUAUCCGGAUUUACUGGGUGUAAAGGGAGCGUAGGCGGCGACGCAAGUCUGGAGUGAAAGCCCGGGGCCCAACCCCGGGACUGCUCUGGAAACUGCGUCGCUGGAGUACGGGAGGGGCAGGCGGAAUUCCUGGUGUAGCGGUGAAAUGCGUAGAUAUUAGGAGGAACACCAGUGGCGAAGGCGGCUUACUGGACUGUAACUGACGUUGAGGCUCGAAAGCGUGGGGAGCAAACAGGAUUAGAUACCCCUGUA
rnacentral:rRNA from 1 species